GGGAGCUGACACGAGAGGACACGAUUGGAAAGGGAACAAAUUAAACUCUGAACCAGGUGAGUGUUAGAACACAGAAAAGUCUCAUGGUGACAAGAUUUGAUCAGGAAAUAAAAACCAGAGGAGACACAGAUUCAGGGAGGAGCUGAGCUGCGACUGAAGAGCAGACGAGACAGAGAAACCUCCACAUUCAACACAGAAGAUUCAGUCCAACAUGUUGUUGUUGGGCUGUUAUGAAACUUCUCUGUUAAUCAUCAUGAUUCUAACAGGUGUCAGCUGUCAACAACUCACUGCCAGCAAAGCUGAAGAGUCCAGUUUGGAAGGCAGCACAGCUACUCUGUCCUACAGAUACUCCAGACA